GACGAACGCUGGCGGCGUGCUUAACACAUGCAAGUCGAACGGAAAGGCCCUGCUUUUGUGGGGUGCUCGAGUGGCGAACGGGUGAGUAACACGUGAGUAACCUGCCCUUGACUUUGGGAUAACUUCAGGAAACUGGGGCUAAUACCGGAUAGGAGCUCCUGCUGCAUGGUGGGGGUUGGAAAGUUUCGGCGGUUGGGGAUGGACUCGCGGCUUAUCAGCUUGUUGGUGGGGUAGUGGCUUACCAAGGCUUUGACGGGUAGCCGGCCUGAGAGGGUGACCGGCCACAUUGGGACUGAGAUACGACCCAGACUCGUACAGGAGGCAGCAGUGUAGAAUAUUACACAAUGGGCGGAAGCCUGAUGCAGCAACGCCGCGUGCGGGAUGACGGCCUUCGGGUUGUAAACCGCUUUCGCCUGUGACGAAGCGUGAGUGACGGUAAUGGGUAAAGAAGCACCGGCUAACUACGUG
rnacentral:rRNA from 1 species